rnacentral:lncRNA from 1 species
CAGACUUGGAACACGGAGCGCAUUGUGGGCCUGUCGUGGGUGGGGCCAGCAGCACAUGCAUGCCGGGCUGACAGAGCAGCCUUUGGGUGUUCUUUUCCCAGAGGAGCUCUACGGUGACUUUGAAGACUUGGAAACAGGGGACGUGCACAAGGGAAAAUCGGGCCCCGAUACUCAGAAUGAAGAUGUAGAGAAACAAGGAAGAAAUUGACCCUGACGAAGAAGAAAGUGCCAAGAAAAAGCAUUUGGAUAAGAAGAGAAAAUUGAAGGAGAUGUUUGAUGUGGAAUAUGAUGAAGGAGAAAGCACAUAUUUUGAUGAUCUUAAAGGAGAAAUGCAGAAACAAGCACAGCUGAAUCAUGCAGAAUUUGAAGAUCAAGAUGAUGAAGCCAGAGUUCAGUAUGAGGGUUUUCGACCUGGGAUGUACGUCUGCGUUGAGAUUGAAAAUGUUCCCUGUGAAUUUGUGUAGAACUUUGACCCCCGUUACCCCAUUAUCCUGGGUGGCUUGGGCAACAGCGAGGGAAAUGUUGGAUACGUGCAGGUGGGUCCCUUUGCUGCAUAUUUGGUGCCUGAGGCUCUGUGGAUUUCCCCUCCAUCAAUCAUCUUACCCUCUCAUCCCCCUCAGAUGCGUCUGAAGAAACAUCGCUGGUAUAAGAAAAUCCUCAAGUCCCGAGAUCCAAUCAUAUUUUCUGUAGGGUGGAGGAGGUUUCAGACCAUCCCGCUCUGUUAUAUCGAAGACCACAAUGGAAGACAAAGGCUUCUAAAGUAUACCCCACAGCAUGUGCAUCGCGGAGCAGCCUUUUGGGAUAAAAUAUGAUUACAAUAACUUGCCUAUUGCUGAGAUUAAACCUUACAGGCUGCGUUAUUUUAGCUUUGUGCUUUUCCUUUCAUAAAAUUCCACUCCUAAGAUUUUUCUCUUUUCUGGGAGCAGGGAGGUGGUUUGGAGUAUAUACGUAAAUCUAUAUCCAAAUCUAAAUGUCCAUAUCCAGUAUGUUAAACUAGAAUCUAAAAUUUGUGGUUUGCUAUAUUUCUUUUUUUCCUUUUCCUUUAAGACCCUAUCACUCCACAGGGAACUGGUUUCUUGGCAAUACAGUCUGUCAGUGGCAUAAUGGUAACUAUCUUGGAUGAUUUCUUUUACAGAUUGGUUUUGAGAAAUAUAUCCUGAAUGUGGAUUACUAUGUACAUGAGACUUUAAGUUGAAAAUUACUCAUUUUUAUUAAUAUAAAGUAAAUUUCCCUUUGCUUUUAAUCUUCGUACAUCCUUUUCAGUAGGGUGUGGGAUUAGAGGAGGGGAGGUGGAAGAAUUAUAAUGGUACAUUUCCUAUUUUUGUGCAUCUUUUGCAUUUAUUUAUCUAAGCAAGUACUUAAGCAGUGCUCACCAUGUGCUAAGCACUGUAUGAGGUUGUGAGGAGCCAUCAGAGACCACCCAGACACAAGACUCCCUGCAGCUGUGCUGGGGUAGCAGUCUGUUCACUCCAUUUUCAUUUGACCAGUCAGGCAGGGCAGGGUUUACUGGUCCCAUUUAACAGAGAAGAAAGCAGAAUAAUGAGCAGAUGGAAUCUUCCCUGGAGGUCCAAAUUUUAAUUUCCUAAACAUUGCAACUGUAUUUUUCUUUUCCAUUUCGUUCCAAAUAAAUCAUUAUAGUAAAAUUACAUUCCUCUGAAAUCACUCUCAGGAAAGUACUCAAGUAGCCUUUUUUUUUUCUUUCUUUUUUUUUUUUUUUUUUGAGACAGAGUUGCACUCUGUCGUCCAGGCUGGAGUGCAGUGGCACAAUCUUGGCUCGCUGCAACCUCUGCCUCCUGGGUUUAAGCGGUUCUCCUGCCUCAGCCUCCCGAGUAGCUGGGAUUACAGGUGUGCACCAUCAUGCCGAGCCAAUUUUUGUAUUUUUAGUAGAGACAGGAUUUCCCCAUGUUGGCCAGACUGGUUUCAAACUUCUGACCUCAGGUGAUCUACCUGCCUUGGCCUCCCAAAGUGCUGGGAUUACAGGUAUGAGCCACUGUGCCCAGCCUCAAGUCACCCUUGUUAGUUUGGCUUACCAACUUUAAAGUUUUGGAUUGCUUUUGUCAAGCCACUGGGUUGCAAGUUCAGAUGGUCUUUCUUGUUUUUCUUAGCUAAUUGUAAGUAAAAUUCACUUUGGUAAUUUAUUGUGUCACAUAGAAUUGAAGUUUUUCUCUUGCUAAUAUUAUUCCUAUUUUCAAAUUUUGGGGUUCCUGUUAGCCUGAUUUUCGGAUAGCUGCCACAGGAGUUGUCCUUGAUCUGGAUAAAUCCAUAAAAAUUGUGAAGAAAUUAAAGCUAACUGGUUUUCCAUAUAAAAUUUUUAAGAACACUUCAUUUAUUAAGGUCUGUAUAUCUAUAUAUUCUCAUAUUUAUAAAUCUCCAUAUUGUUUGAGAAAAGGAAUGAAAUACCUCUAAAAUAUGGGCCUCAUAUUUUUAGAAAAGUGUUUGAAAUCUUUUAUAAACUUCAUAUUUUGUUUGCUCCUUUAUAUUCUGUAUUACUUAAAUAUGCUCAGAAAAGCAGUGGUAAACAGCUAUUUAGGAAUUGAGGCUGUUACUCCUGACUUCCAUGUGAGACUGCCACAGAACUCAUAUUGAAAAUAUGUCAUUUUAUCCACUAGGUUUUGUUUCCUACUUUUUAAAUUUGUGUUAAGAAAGGGAAAAAAAUCACAAGUUUGUCUAACUCAGUAGAAAAAUCGACAAAGCAUUUGCAGACAACUUGGCAAGGGUACAGAGAAACGGAUGUACUGUUUUUCAGUAUUUGGGGAGGGUGGUUUGAGCAGCAUUUAUUGACAAUUUCAUUAGUGGGGAUGUUUCUAUUGAAAACAGAGUUAGGAAGUCAUAAAAUGUUCCUGCAAUAUAAGGUAAUAAUACCACCAGCGUUUAUCUUACUGUUUUCAUGUUCUAAGUGCAUGCAUCUGAGUAAAAGGAUCUGGGCUGCAGUCCAGUCUGAGAGAUGCCAGCAAAGGCUUCCUAGGCCAGUUCAGUCCAGUAAAUCCCUCUUCGAUCUUCUCUUCCACACAGACAGCAGUGAUGAGCAUGCCCAUGAACUCACAUGAUUAUUUUGGGGAAAAUGAAAGAGUUGUAUUCUUUUUGAGGUAGUAAUUCCACUUUCAGGGGCAAAUACAUUUUGAUUAUUUUAUCACCCUUCAGUGAGUUGUUUUUGUUCUUUAAUCAAGGAUGUAUGUUUGAAGUAAGAAGUAAAGCAUAAAGUAUAUGAUUUUGUGUGUGUGUGUGUGUUUUUAUCUUGCUGUACCUGUAGGGAAUGUUUAAUUCAGCCUUGGAAGUGGCCAAAUUUGAAGGUGCUGUGAUUCGAACUGUCAGUGGGAUAAGGGGGCAGAUCAAGAAAGCACUCUGAGCUCCAGAAGGAGCUUUCCGGGCCAGCUUUGAGGAUAAGCUGCUGAUGAGCGGUGAGUGUCU